CAGCUAAUGAUUUAGAUUAAAAAAUUCAAUAGCAAGGACGAAAGUGGUUUUAAUAACAAACAACCAAGAAAUGUUCAUGUGACAAGAGCAACAAAUUGUAGCCAGUCUAACAGUAACUGUUUAACGUGCACAGUCUGUCGAUCCUGGUGAUCAGGAUUUAUGUCAAGUGGCAAAAUUAAUCUACAAAUAGUUUUAGUCACAAAACACAGGACUUUAAAGAUUCCCAGUAAAGUGCUAAGUGUAUUUAUUAUGCCACACACAGUGCAUGGUAGUAACAUAGAACUAUCUUCAUUUGAAGCUUUGUUUGGUAGCAGGGCAAAACUAUCCCCCUUUAAUUCGGGGGUGUCUGCCAGAAUUGCCCUGCCCAAACCGAUGAUGCCCUGCAGCAAAUUUUCAUUUCUGGCCACUGUUUCCCCCAAAAUGCUGGCGAACAGAGGUGGGUGGGUGGGGAGGGGGUGGAAAAUUUUUCUGGACCCCCCCCUAACUCAAGUUUCGCCCCUGUUUGGUAGGGAUGCAACUACCUGAAAAAUACAAGGACAAUGUUUCGAGCGAAGGCCCUUCGUCGGGAAGUUUGUUGCGGGGUCUGGAAAA